GAGAAACGCUCAGUCCCGAAGACAGCUGUCCACAGUUGACCAAAUGUGAGCUGCAGGCUUAUUGCAGUUCCCAGAAGUCUCUGGACUGAGCUGAGCCACUUUCUCUGCCUUGUCUAGAUAUGCUUUGUUUUGGGCAGCCUGACGGCUCUGUGGGCCUGGCCCCUGCCCGGACGAGGGGUCAUGUGCCCUUCUCACCUGAUGGUCUUGACCUGACUUCUAACUUCACCGAGGCAGCCUGGGAAAUCCAGGCUCUCCUCGGAAUUUCAUCUGCCUUUGACUCCGCUCACAGAGUUGAGGGAGGUUAAAUCCAAUAAGGCAUCUGUGGUGCUUGCUAGAGUGCCUGGAACAAAACGUGAAAGCAAAAUUUGAUCAGGAAAAAUAAAACCAAGGGCCUUGAACAGACAUUUCUCCAAAGAAGAUACAAGUGGCCGAUAAGCACAUGGAAAUAUAAUCAAUAUUAUUAAUCAUCAGGGAGAUGCAAAUUAUAACCUAAAGGAGAUACACACACCAACACAUGCACCCAUUAUUAUUUUUAAAAAAGAAAACACAACAUAACAAGUGUUGGUGAAGAUGUGGAGACAUUGGAACCCUUGUGCACUGUUGGUGGGAAUGUAAAAUGGCACAGCCACUGUGGAAGACAGUAUGGCACCUCCUCAAAAUAUGAAACAUAGAACCACCAUGUGAUCCAGCAAUUCCACUUCUGAGUGUAUACCCGAGAGAAAUGAAAGCAGGAACUUGGAGAGAGAUUUGCACACCCAUGUUCGGAGUAGCAUUACUCACAGCAGUCACCAUGUGAAAGCAACUCAAGUAUCCACUGAAGGAUGAAUGGGUAAACAAAAGGGAUAUAUCCAACAAAGGAAUAUUAUCCAGUCUUAAAGUGGGAGGGAAUUCUUACCAAUUCUAUAGCAUGGAUGAAACCUGAAGACAUUAUGCUCAGUGAAAUAAUCCAGAUACAAAAGGACAAAUAUUGUAUGAUUCCACUUAUAUACCUGUUAAAGCAAACUAAGUAUGGCCUGAGAAGGACUCCAUACUUUCCAUAUAUUUGAGUCCUUGUGAUGAACCGUAACCUAGCUUAAUAGGCAGACAAAAUUGAAAACCUAACUUAGUAGUAUGCAACUGUAACACUAGUGAAGUCUUGGCCAAUCCCAGUGGCUACACUUCAACCAUUCAAACACUGCUGAGUGUUCAAACUAUGUUUAAAUAAGGCAUAUACUGAGCUGUAACCAAUCCAGUCGUCCUGUACCUCACUUCUAAUUUCUGUACAUCAUUUCCCUUUUUUUUUUGUCUAUAAAUCUUUUUCCACCAGGUGGCUGUGUCGGAGUCUCUGUGAAUCUGCUGUGAUUCUGGGGACUGCCCAAUUCUUGAAUUGUUCAUUGCUCAAUUAAACUCCUUUAAAUUUAAUUCAGCUGAAGUUUCCAUUUUAUUAUGCCUGAGAGCAGUCAAAUCUACAGAGACAGAAAAUCUCUACAGUAGUUGCCAAGGGCUGGGGGAAGGGGACAUAGAAAAAUAGUUGUUAAUGGACAUGGAGUUUCAGUUGUGGAAGAUGAAGAAGUUGUCGAGGUGGAUAGUGGUGAUGAUUGCAUAAUAAUGGGGAUGUGCUUGAUGCCACUGAACUGUACACUAAAAAAUGGUUAAAAUAGC
rnacentral:lncRNA from 10 species